GUCAGUACUUGGAUAUCAUUUCAUAUGAGAGAAAUCUGAAGAAUAUAAACAUAGCGACAGGAAGCAGGUCAGCGGUUGCCUGGGGAGGUGGAGUGGUAUGUGUAUAUAUGUGUAUGUAAGGACUAACUACACAAGUAUAUGAGAAGCAGCUGAACUGGUGACUACGCUCAUUAUUUUGGUUUCCCCAUGUAUGUCAAGAAUGUACAAAUUUUACACUUUAAAUAGAAGCCUAAUUACAGCAACUACAUAAUUCAGAAAAUAUGGGGGGAAGGGGGACCCACAUAAGGACAAACCAUCCUAUCUCCUCUUUGCCACCAAGCAGGAGAGAUUUGGCCAGAGCUGUGUCACCUUCACUUAGACCCCCACUACAGGCAGGAGUGAGCUCUCUCUUCACUUGGCCAGCUAUGACCUCUGAGUACUGUAAGUCAAACUCAUAAUUUCCACUGGAGUUCACCCCUUUCAAACAUUAAUUCUUUUAAUGGCCUACAGUGUACACAACACACAGAGGAUCCCUGGGCUCAAGGGCAUUCUGAGGCCUCUACAGCAACUCAGUGAUGACACAGCCAACUUGGAGAAGCAAAGGCUUUUCUAGUGAAACAUAUAGCACAACCAGGUAGCUUCUCUGAUUAAACCAGGUCUCACAUGUCUUAGUGUCUCUUCUUGUGACUAACAGAGAACCAUUCGAAUCCUUUCCAUGGAGGGCCAUGGAGCCAUUAACACACUCAGUUCAGGAGCUUGUCACUCCCUUUUAACCACUGGUGAAUUGAAGAUAGUAUCCUCCUAUCAGUGAGAGCAGCUUUCAACUAUCUCACAUACCAUCUCAUUUGAAAGCAAAGCUUUAAAGAAUUGUCUGCUAAGUGUAGAAUAAGUGGUGGGGAUUCUAGCAUAAGACAAAAGCCAUUGACUAUAAUAUAAAGUUAUCUGAACAUAAUGCUAUGUUGUCCAUUAACAGAAGAAUGGCUAACCAAAUAAUGGCAAUUUUUUUAUUGAAUAGAAUUUUGCAAAUACUGAUACUCACUAAAACAAAUGAAUCCUGGGAAUUGUUGGGCAAAAGAAUCUAGAGGCAGAAAUAUAAUAGUUCAUGUUAUUCUAGUUAAAGUUCAAAAAAGAACAAGACAGUUUUGAAAAUUAAAAAUUCUAUAUAUUUGAGUGUAUGUGGAGAAGACGCACAAAGGCCAUGGUGGGCAUGUGGAGAUUGGAGGACAAGACCGUGGAGUCACUUCUCCUACUUUUACAUGGGUUCUAGGAAUUGAAUUCAAGUCGCCAGGCUUGUGCAGCAAACACCUCCAUCCACUGAGCCAUCUUGAUGGCCCCAAACAAGCACAAUUUAUCGCUGAUGAUAGACACGAGAGCCACUAGUUGUGUCUGUGUGAGUGGCUUGAAAGGAGGAAGAACAACCAUUAGGGAAAGGAUAUGUCCUGUGUCUUGGCAGGAGAGGAGUAUUAAGAGUACACAGGGGCAAAUAUGUACAUAUAUUCCAUUACAAAUCAUUUUAUUGAAUGUAAAUUAUCCCCUGAUUUAAGAAUAAAACAUGUAAGGGAUUGUGGUGGAGAAAGUCACUCACUUACCUUUCUAAGUCUAAUAACGUCAGGUAAGACUUCUCACAGGAAAUGACACUUGAGAAAGACCUUGAAGCCUAGAUGCUUCCUAGUUGGAGCUAAAAAAAGAAUAAAAAUGUGGAGGCAUUCAUGGCACAACUAAAGGAAGCUCCAAGGGUGUAUUUGAGAAUAUGGGCCUUUAAGAGAAUAUUGAAGAAGGGAGAGUAGGUCUUUGACUCAUUUUGAAUUGACUUUUAUACAGAGUGAGAUAUCCUAAUUUCAUUCUUCUGUAUGUGGGUAUUGUGUUUUCUCAGCUUUAUUUGAAGAGACUCUUUUUCUCCAAUGUUUGUUUUUCAAAACAUCUUUGCCAGAAAUUAGCGGGCCCCGGCUCUGCGUUUAUUUCUGGGUACUCUUUCUUCUACUCUAUCAGUGUACGUAUCUGUUCUGCUGCCAGUGCCAUGCUGUUGCUGUUGCUAUGGAUGAAUGGUAUAAAGAAUGUUCAAGUCCUUAGUCACCAGGGAAAUGCAAAUCAGAACAACUCUGAGGUUCCACGGCUAAGAUAAAGAACCGAACCUCCAAGCGCUAUAUUAUGUAAGAAAAGAGCAAGUGUACUUCCGUCCUCAUUACUGAUUUUAGGGGGAAAAAUGUUUCUCAGAGCCUCAUAUUACCUGAAGAAAGGCUUUCUCCAAUUGCACUCCCCUGUCUUAUCCACUAAGGAGAAAACUAAGAGAAAGUCCAGGAGGAAUUUCAAUGAAAAGCUGAUAAUUUUAAGACUAUGGGACAGUGGUUCUUAACAUAUGGGUCCUGACCCCUUUUGGGGAGGUUGCAUAUCAGAUAUCCUGCAUAUCAAAUAUUUAUAUUGUGAUUCAUAACAGUAGCAAAAUUACAGUAUUGUAUUAAAGGAAUUGUAUUAAAGGGUCAAAGCAUUAGGAAGAUUGAAAAUCACUGUUUUAUGACUCCCAUACUGCUGCAACAACAGAACGCCAGUAUUGGUAUACUGCAGUAUUGGUAUACAGUCUCUAAAAUAAGCAUUAAGGAAGGCCGCAGUCAAGAGGAGAGGAGAACAAAAGCACCCCCAAGGGUCCCCAAGUUUCUGGCACAAACAGACAACAAACCUAAGGAACCCUGUUUCUGGCUACAAAUAAUCAACAAACAUUAUAGACUAAUCCAAUGCAGUUUAACAUGAAACUCAUCGUGAUAGUUGUUUUACUUACGAGGUGAUUCUAGCUCUUGACAGAUAGUGAAAAGUAAUAUUAAGAAGCAAGAAAGAGGUGACUAGGAAGGUUGCGCAGUGAUUAAAGCACCUAUAUGAGAGUGGGUACAGGCGUUCAGAUUUGCAGAACCCAUGUAAAUGCCAGGUGGGCAUGGCAGCUUACUUGUAAUUCCAGCCUUGGGAGGCAGACAGGGGACUCCCAGGGCAAGCUGGAUAGCAAGUAGCCAUAUUAGCAAGUAUUGGCUUUGAUUGAGAGACCUUGCCUCAAGAAAUAAGAUGGAAGAACAACCUAUAGCCAAGGCUGAUUCUCGACAGCAACUUCAGCAUGCACGUGCAUGAGCCCCAUGUACAAAUACGCAAGCAUGUGCACACACAGAAACACAUGCACCUUCCAAAAACACAUGGAAAUAGAAAAAGAGGCAAGAAGAAAAGCUGUCUGAAAAAAAAAAACAGAUUUUUAUAUUUUUCUUUUUUCAAAUAUGUAUUUAUAUUUAUUCAAUAUGUAUGAGCGUUUACUUGCAUAUAUGUAUAUGUACCACAUGAAUUCAGUGCCCUCAGAACAAAGAGGAGGGUGUCAGAACCCCUGGAAUUGGAGUCACAGAAAAUUGUGAACCAGUAUGUGGAUGCUGGGAACUGAACCUGUGUCCUCUGCGAGAGAGCAAGUGUUCUUAAACAAUAAGCCACCGCUCCAAGCCCAGAUUUUCUAUUUUCUGAAUAAGCUCUGUGAGUAUUUCUUAAACCUCAUUCAUUUAAUCUGAAAUUUAAAAGUAUUAUUUGUAGUCAUGCACAUGUAGAUAUGCCUAUAUGUAGCAUGUGAGCUACAUGUGAGCACAUGUACAUACAUACAUGUGAGCACUGAUGCCCAUGGAGGCCAGAGUGCUGGAUCCCUUUGAAGUUGGAGCUCCAUAUGAUUCUGAGCUGCCAGACAUGGUUGCUGGAGACAAAAUUUAGUUCCUUUGGAAAAACAGUACACUGUUCUU
rnacentral:lncRNA from 1 species